rnacentral:rRNA from 1 species
AGUGAACGCUGGCGGUAGGCCUAACACAUGCAAGUCGAACGGCAGCACAGUAGGAGCUGGCUCUUACGGGUGGCGAGUGGCGGACGGGUGAGGAAUACAUCGGAAUCUACUUUUUCGUGGGGGAUAACGUAGGGAAACUUACGCUAAUACCGCAUACGACCUACGGGUGAAAGCAGGGGAUCUUCGGACCUUGCGCGAUUGAAUGAGCCGAUGCCGGAUUAGCUAGUUGGCGGGGUAAAGGCCCACCAAGGCGACGAUCCGUAGCUGGUCUGAGAGGAUGAUCAGCCACACUGGAACUGAGACACGGUCCAGACUCCUACGGGAGGCAGCAGUGGGGAAUAUUAGACAAUGGGCGCAAGCCUGAUCCAGCCAUACCGCGUGGGUGAAGAAGGCCUUCGGGUUGUAAAGCCCUUUUGUUGGGAAAGAAAAGCAGCAGGUUAAUACCCCGCUGUUCUGACGGUACCCAAAGAAUAAGCACCGGCUAACUUCGUG